rnacentral:rRNA from 1 species
GCACGGAAGUUAGCCGGGGCUCUUCUUCUGUGGGUACAGUCAUUAUCUUCCCCACUGAAAAGAGACUUUACAACCCUAAGGCCUUCAUCGCUCACGCGGCAUGGCUAGAUCAGGCUUGCGCCCAUUGUCUAAGAUUCCCCA